rnacentral:rRNA from 1 species
AGGGAGGGAUGAACUGGGUAUCCGUAAGGUGAACCUGCGGAAGGACAUUUGUCGAUGCCUCGCAAACAGGACGACCAGCGAACCGGUUCAACCAAUCUCGGGGAGGGAGGCCAGGGGCGUUCAUUGCCUCGAGUCCCCAGCCCCAUGCCAGGGGUGCGAGUGCGGCCUCGUGCUGCAAAGUGCCCCGGCCAAUGCAACAACUGCAAACCCCGGCGCGAGAAGCGUCAAGGAACUCAAACAAAAGUGCGUGGCCUCGGCGACCCGGAGACGGAUCUCGUUCGGGGCCAACGGCGAAAAUGAUGUCUAGAACGACUCUCGGCAACGGAUAUCUCGGCUCUCGCAUCGAUGAAGAACGUAGCGAAAUGCGAUACUUGGUGUGAAUUGCAGAAUCCCGUGAACCAUCGAGUCUUUGAACGCAAGUUGCGCCCGAAGCCAUUAGGUUGAGGGCACGUCUGCCUGGGUGUCACGCAUCGUUGCCCCAAAACCCUGUCAUCCCUCCGUUCAAUCGGAGACGGCGAGGUGCUUGGGCGGAAGUUGGCCUCCCGUGAGCAUUGCCUCGUGGAUGGCCGAAAUUAGAGCCUGUGGGGGGCAACCACCACGUUCCACGGUGGUUGAGCAGAUGCCUCGAGGCCAAUCGUGUGCGAGUUGUCCCCACGUCAAGGCUGCGAGACCCUUGCGAGCAAGUAAGUGCUCCCAACGCGACCCCAGGUCAGGCGGGGCCACCCGCUGAGUUUAA